rnacentral:tRNA from 7 species
CAAAAUGUAACUUAAAAUAAAGUAUUUCGCUUACACCGAAAAAACAUCAGUGUAACCCUGAUCAUUUUGA